CCGCUCAGAAACUCAAUGAAUUGACGGGGCCGCACAAGCGUGGAGCAUGUGGUUUAAUUCGAUGAUACGCGAGGAACCUUACCUGGGCUCAAAUGUAUGUUGACGUAUUCUGAAAGGGAUACUUCUUCGGACAAUAUACAAGGUGCUGCAUGGUUGUCGUCAGCUCGUGCCGUGAGGUGUCGGGUUAAGUCCCAUAACGAGCGCAACCCCUACCUUUAGUUGCCAUCAGGUUAAGCUGGGGACUCUAAAGGAACUGCCUACGCAAGUAGUGAGGAAGGCGGGGAUGACGUCAAAUCAGCACGGCCCUUACGUCCAGGGCUACACACGUGCUACAAUGGCCGAUACAGAGGGCAGCUACCUGGUGACAGGAUGCAAAUCUCCAAAGUCGGUCUCAGUUCGGAUCGGAGUCUGCAACCCGACUCCGUGAAGCUGGAAUCGCUAGUAAUCGCGCAUCAGCCAUGGCGCGGUGAAUACGUUCCCGGGCCUU
rnacentral:rRNA from 1 species